rnacentral:rRNA from 1 species
GAUGAACGCUGGCGGCGUGCCUAUACAUGCAAGUCGAGCGAACGGACGAGAAGCUUGCUUUUCUGAUGUUAGCGGCGGACGGGUUAGUAACACGUGGAUAACCUACCUAUAAGACUGGGAUAACUUCGGGAAACCGGAGCUAAUACCGGAUAAUAUUUUGAACCGCAUGGUUCCAAAGUGAAAGACGGUCUUGCUGUCACUUAUAGAUGGAUCCGCGCUGCAUUAGCUAGUUGGUAAGGUAACGGCUUACCAAGGCAACGAUGCAUAGCCGACCUGAGAGGGUGAUCGGCCACACUGGAACUGAGACACGGUCCAGACUCCUACGGGAGGCAGCAGUAGGGAAUCUUCCGCAAUGGGCGAUAGCCUGACGGAGCAACGCCGCGUGAGUGAUGAAGGUCUUCGGAUCGUAAAACUCUGUUAUUAGGGAAGAACAUAUGUGUAAGUAACUGUGCACAUCUUGACGGUACCUAAUCAGAAAGCCACGGCUAACUACGUG